GAUGAACGCUGGCGGCGUGCCUAAUACAUGCAAGUCGAGCGAACAGACGAGAGUGCUUGCACUCUCUGACGUUAGCGGCGGACGGGUGAGUAACACGUGGGUAACCUACCUUUAAGACUGGGAUAACUUCGGGAAACCGGAGCUAAUACCGGAUAAUAUUUAGCUUCGCAUGAAGCAAUAGUGAAAGACGGUUCUGCUGUCACUUAUAGAUGGACCCGCGGUGUAUUAGCUAGUUGGUGAGGUAACGGCUCACCAAGGCAACGAUACAUAGCCGACCUGAGAGGGUGAUCGGCCACACUGGGACUGAGACACGGCCCAGACUCCUACGGGAGGCAGCAGUAGGGAAUCUUCCGCAAUGGACGAAAGUCUGACGGAGCAAUGCCGCGUGAGUGAAGAAGGUUUUCGGAUCGUAAAACUCUGUUGUAAGGGAAGAACAAGUACGUUAGUAACUGAACGUACCUUGACGGUACCUUACCAGAAAGCCACGGCUAACUACGUG
rnacentral:rRNA from 1 species